CUACAGCCACACUUUAUUACCCUGAUAAAAUCCAAUAUCUGGUUUUCAAAAUUCACAAGGUUUCUUGAGAUUGAGUAAAAAGAAGUUGGCAAAACUACAAGACAAGUAGGUUACAAACAAGAAGACAUACAAUGGUAAAUACAUCACACAGUUGCUUUCCCACAGCCACAUCAUAGAUGGCUAUCUACCUGUUAUACACAACACACAUUUGUCCAUACCAUAUAAACCCUCUAAAAAGCUAAAUGAUAUUACACCAAUCCU
rnacentral:lncRNA from 1 species